UAAUUAAGCGGAGGAAAAGAAACUAACUAGGAUUGUCUCAGUAAGGGCGACUGAAGCGACAAUAGCUCAYCAUGUGAAUCUGCGUAAGCCGAAUUGUGGUCUCACUUGCGUUAYUGGCCGGGCUAAGUCCGUUGGAACACGGCAGCUGAGAGGGUGACACUCCCGUGUGCCCGGCCUUUGGAGCAGGUGUAUUCGAGUCGAGUUGUUUGGGAUUGCAGCUCAAAGCGGGUGGUAAAUUCCAUCGAAAGCUAAAUACUGGUGGGAGACCGAUAGCGUACAAGUACCGUGAGGGAAAGAUGCAAAGAAGCGCGAAAGCGCUGUUAAAGAGUACCUGAACUUGCUGAAACGGAAGCGAAGGAAACCAGUGCCAGCUGCGUCAUACUUCCCCAUCUGCUUGCGGGUGGGGCGCUGUGGCCAGCGUUGUUGGCCUUGGUUGGUYGGUGCAGAAGAGCGCGAGAGGAGUUGACUCUCGUUGCGYGUGCGCUGAUCGACCAAGUUCGACGAAAUGGUUUUCUUUUUCCCG
rnacentral:rRNA from 1 species